rnacentral:rRNA from 1 species
UACGUAGGGUGCAGGCGUUAAUCGGAAUUACUGGGCGUAAAGCGUGCGCAGGCGGUUUCUUAAGUCAGAUGUGAAAGCCCCGGGCUUAACCUGGGAACUGCGUUUGAAACUGGGAGACUAGAGUGUGGCAGAGGGGGGUGGAAUUUCACGUGUAGCAGUGAAAUGCGUAGAUAUGUGGAGGAACACCGAUGGCGAAGGCAGCCCCCUGGGCUAACACUGACGCUCAUGCACGAAAGCGUGGGGAGCAAACAGG